rnacentral:rRNA from 1 species
GACAGAGGUCCCGAGCGUUAGGCGGAAUCACUGGGCUUAAAGCGUGUGUAGGCGGAUUUGUAAGUACCUUGUGAAAUCCCACAGCUUAACUGUGGAACUGCUUGGUAUACUGCUUAUCUUGGGCCACUUAGGGGUUACCGGAACAAACGGUGGAGCGGUGAAAUGCGUAGAUAUCGGAAGGAACACCAGUGGCGAAAGCGGCUACCUGGCCUAAUACUGACACUGAGGCACGAAAGCGUGGGGAGCAAACAGG